AUUGAACGCUGGCGGCAGGCCUAACACAUGCAAGUCGAGCGGAUGAAGGGAGCUUGCUCCUGGAUUCAGCGGCGGACGGGUGAGUAAUGCCUAGGAAUCUGCCUGGUAGUGGGGGAUAACGUCCGGAAACGGGCGCUAAUACCGCAUACGUCCUGAGGGAGAAAGUGGGGGAUCUUCGGACCUCACGCUAUCAGAUGAGCCUAGGUCGGAUUAGCUAGUUGGUGGGGUAAAGGCCUACCAAGGCGACGAUCCGUAACUGGUCUGAGAGGAUGAUCAGUCACACUGGAACUGAGACACGGUCCAGACUCCUACGUGAGGCAGCAGUGGGGAAUAUUGGACAAUGGGCGAAAGCCUGAUCCAGCCAUGCCGCGGGUGUGAAGAAGGUCUUCGGAUUGUAAAGCACUUUAAGUUGGGAGGAAGGGCAGUAAGUUAAUACCUUGCUGUUUUGACGUUACCAACAGAAUAAGCACCGGCUAACUGCGU
rnacentral:rRNA from 1 species